rnacentral:rRNA from 1 species
GCCGUGGGCGCUGGAGAAUUGAGGGGGGCUGCUCCUAGUACGAGAGGACCGGAGUGGACGCAUCACUGGUGUUCGGGUUGUCAUGCCAAUGGCACUGCCCGGUAGCUAAAUGCGGAAGAGAUAAGUGCUGAAAGCAUCUAAGCACGAAACUUGCCCCGAGAUGAGUUCUCCCUGAGACUAUAAGUCUCCUGAAGGAACGUUGAAGACGACGACGUUGAUAGGUCGGGUGUGUAAGCGCAGCGAUGCGUUGAGCUAACCGAUACUAAUGAACCGUGAGGCUUAACCUU